rnacentral:rRNA from 1 species
UGCGUAGGCGGGUCUUUAAGUCAGGGGUGAAAUCCUGGAGCUCAACUCCAGAACUGCCUUUGAUACUGAGGAUCUUGAGUUCGGGAGAGGUGAGUGGAACUGCGAGUGUAGAGGUGAAAUUCGUAGAUAUUCGCAAGAACACCAGUGGCGAAGGCGGCUCACUGGCCCGAUACUGACGCUGAGGCAAGACUGGGAGCAACA